GUCGGGAUAGCUCAGUUGAUAGAGCAAAGGACUGAAAAUCCUCGUGUC
rnacentral:tRNA from 1 species